AGCUCCAAUAGCGUAUAUUAAAGUUGUUGCAGUUAAAAAGCUCGUAGUUGGAUUUGUGGUGUACGGUGGGUUCCAGGCACUUGUUGUCUGAGCAACUUGCCGUUGCCAUCCUUGGGUGGAACCUGUGUGGCAUUAGGUUGUCGUGCAGGGGAUGCCCAUCGUUUACUGUGAAAAAAUUAGAGUGUUCAAAGCAGGCUUAUGCCGUUGAAUAUGUUAGCAUGGAAUAAUGAGAUAGGACUUUUUUGCUAUUUUGUUGGUUUGCGCAAAGAGGUAAUGAUUAAUAGGGACAGUUGGGGGUAUUCGUAUUCCAUUGUCAGAGGUGAAAUUCUUGGAUUUUUGGAAGACGAACUACUGCGAAAGCAUUUACCAAGGAUGUUUUCAUUAAUCAAGAACGAAAGUA
rnacentral:rRNA from 1 species